UAUCACCGGUUACCGUACGAUCAGCGAUGUUAAGCAACGUCGAGCCUCGUCAGUACCUAGAUGGGUGACCGUUUGGGAAUAUCAGGUGCAGUAA